rnacentral:lncRNA from 1 species
CGUGUCCUUGCGGGCGUGGUGAGGGACCAGGAGCGGGCCGACGGGGUGCAGCCGCAGCGUCUCCUUUACCACGGCGUCGAUGUAGGGGAGGUCCGGCAGGUCGCGCUCCGUGACCCAGCGCCCGCGGCCGACCACGCGGUCCAGCUCGUCGGUCGCGGCCGCCAUGGCCUCCGGGUGGCGGAGAAGCUCCGACAUGGCCCACUCUAUCGUCACCGCCGAGCUCUCCGUGCCCCCGGCGAUGAUGUCCUGGAUGAAGGCCUUCACGCUGACGCGCGUGAGCCUGGCCUCCGACUCCUGCCUGUCCUCCUCGGCGAGCUGCAACAGCACGUCGACGAGGUCGCUCGCCACGAACUCGCCGGCGGCAUCGGCUCGCAGCCGCCGUUCCUCGUGCUCGUCCACUAUCUUCUCGUAGAACCGGUCGUGCAGCUCGAGCAGCCGCUUCAUCUUCCGCGCGCAGCCCUGCACGUCGAGCCAUCCCAGCAACGGCACCCACUCGCCGACGUUGCUCACCGCGCCGGUCGCCGCGAACGCCUCGUCCAGCGUGCUCCGGAACGCCUCGCCCUCGGCGCUGCCGUAGCAGCCCGACCACUUCUCCCCCACGGCCAUGCGGAGGAUGUUCCGCAGCGUGGCGCCCGCGACGUGCUCCCUGACGGCGACGGCGCGGCCGGCGCACCGGAACAGGCCGCGCACCAGCGCGCGCAUCUCCUGCGCGCGCACGAGCUCGAACGAGUCCACGCGCCGCACCGAGAAGAGCUCGGUGGCGCAGAGCUUGCGCGUCAUGCGCCAGUAGGGGCCGUACGGCGUGUGCACGAUGCCCUGGUAGCCGUAGCCGGUGAUCUCGCCGGCGGCCGUGGGCGGGCGGUCGGCGAACGCGAGGUCGUGGGUCUUGAGGACGAGGCGGGCGGUCUCCGCCGACGAGGCCACCACGGUGUGAUAGGAGCCCAGACGGAGGUGCAUGAGCGGGCCGUAGCGCGCCGCGAGCGCGGCCAGCACGCGGUGCGGCGGGACCGCGCCCGCCAGAACGCCGAGGCUGCCGAACACCGGCCACCCCCGCGGGCCCGGCGGAAGGUUCAGUGCCUUCCUCCGGCCGCGUGGCGGGACGACGGAGCUGAGGAUGAAGAUGGCCAAGAUGGCGGCCAUUGCCAUGGACAACAUUGCUGUGAGCUCCAUCGCUGGAAAUGGAAGCCUUGGAGAGUGUGUGGUACGACUGCACGAUCGAUGAGGUGUUGUUUCGUGGUGGCAUAUACUUAUAAAGGAAUAAUUUUUUUUUGUGAACUAUAUUAGUAUAUUAUGCUAUUAUUUGAGGCACACAUUCGUCGUGGACUCAUGGUGGCAUGUAAAGGAAAAAAUAAAUAUUUUUCUCUUUUCUGAGCUUAAGAGCCUGUUUAGUUCACUUUGCAUUUUUGCAAAAUUUCACUGUAGCAAAGGAAUCUUGCUAAUUUGAAGUACUAAAUGAAGUCUAUUUGCAAAAAUUUUUGCAUGGAUGGGUUGUAAAUCGCGAGACGAAUCUAAUGAGCCUACUUAAUCCAUGUUGUUUUGCAACAGUGAUGCUACAGUAACCAUCCGCUAAUUAUUGCUUAAUUAUGGCUUCAUUAGAUUCGUCUCGCGAUUUACAACCCAUCCAUGCAAAAAGUUUUGCAAAUAGACUUCAUUUAGUACUUCAAAUUAGCAAGAUUCCUUUGCUACAGUGAAAUUUUGCAAAAAUGCAAAGUGAACUAAACAGGCCCUAACUAGAUUCUGCAAUUAUUUGAGGCACACAUUCAUCAUGGACUGAAGCAAACACAUCAGUCCUGAACUGACUGUGACGGUGUCCGGAGUUUGCCUCGAUGCAAUAGACUUCCCAAUCACAAACUCGCAACAAACAUGUGCGGAGAUGGUAGCCGUGUGGUGUGAUGAAUCACAGUUCACAAGGUUGUCAGGCAAUGUUCACUACAGCUGUAAUUCUGGAAGAAGAAGACAGUUUGGUCAGAAUUCGGUUGUAUUAUAGUGCCGUAUAAUCCUUUAAGUGAGUGAGGUGUGCGUGCGCUUAUGCUAGCCCGCGUUGUGAAAACUUUCUUCUUAAUGCAAUGAUUCGCAGCUCUUCUGCGUAUUCUCAAAAAAGAAAAGUUUGGUCAGAAUUCUGUGACUUGUCAUGGGUCAUCAGACAUACUUGGUAUUCAUCCAAUGUUUUCACUGUGCAUUCUUUUACUAGAAAUAGCCAAUAAAAGUAGAAAACAUAUGGACUGAAUAGGACACAUGCUGAAGUUGCUGAUACUCCCAAAACUGAGAUGAAUGCAAAAUUCACCGUUCACCAGUAACAAUAGUCAGCACAUGCAACUUCUAGGAUUCUAUUCGGAAGUUUUUUUUUUUUGAGUUCCAGGGCAACCACCCCGGUCUGUAUGCAUUGCAACAGGACCACAAGUGGCCAGCGUUUUCAGCGCAUCUCAUUUUAAUGUUUCUAUUCGGAGGAUUAGUAGGCACAUGAAACAUGUGUGUUCAUGUUUCUUUGCCUAAUGAACUGGUCCCAGAGCCACACACACACUAGACAAAGACAUCACGGCCUAGGCAUCGCAGAUUUCUUCAGAAACAAACAAGAACAAAUGUAUUUGUGUGGUGAGUGUUGCAUUUGCACUAGCAUCUGUACAUUGUUCCUUCAAACCAAUUCAUUUACAUCCACGUGAAUAUCGCACAAGCUGCAUAAUUGCAUCAGAAGGUUCGGAAGUUCAGAGAACUGAAGCAAGUAAGCAACAGCCAUAUCGAAGGUGACACUCUGUCUGAAUCUGAAGAAACAGGCAGGGUCAUCCUGGACCUCAAAAAAAAAAAAGAGAGAGAGAUUAUUGUUUUCAAGCUUUGGGUAAAAAAAUUGUGAAGGACCACAUGGUGGUCACGAAUAGGGAAGACCAUGAGAUUCUACAUCUUAAAGUGAGAACACAAUGUAGACAGGAGAAGUUUGUCCUUCAUGGAUCAAUCUGUGAAAGUAUAUGUGUUCCCCGUUAUCUAACAAACAUCAAUCUGUUUGCGAACAGAUAUUUUAAAUCCAUCGUUAUUUGAUGCUUUCUUGAAGUAGCUAAAUGUCCGUGCGUUGCCACGGGCAACAAUAAUUACAGCUGAAAAUCAUAAUAUUCUUCUCUUGUGAUCAUGGUGCGAGAUCCCAGUAAUAUAUUGUCAGGGUGGUCGAUGCAGGGGCGGAAAGCCAUACUAUAAUAUUGUCAGGGUUACACGGAUUGGGCUUCUGACAUAGUGCUUUCUCACCCUGCUGAUGUUGGUCUGAGGAGGAACUUGCUAUGGAAUUUGAAGAGUCAUCGGGGGUCAGGUGACAUAACAAAUGAACAAAAUACACAUAGCUCUGACAAGGCGGGUGCCGGCCAGGGGAGCUCCAAAACGGACAGAUAGGUUCUUGUGGCAAGGGUGGCAGGAACACUGCUAAAAAUGGGGGGGGGGGGGACCGCAUGUAAAAGAGAGGAGCGUUGUUUCAAGCUCCAAUGGUUAGAAACAUUGACAGGAAAACAAAGAAAAAUCAGAUAGUUCAGAUAUAUCAUUUACCCCGUGUGUGUGUGGGGGGGGGGGGCGGGUGGGGUUAAUCAGCACAAGACUAGUGUUCCAUGCAUCUACAAAUGCAUGCUGGCACCUGAAAACUCCAAUGCUUUUAAAAGCCACGGUGUAGCAUGCUGUUAGCGGCACUGCACUGAUGAUGGCUGGACACAAGAUUCAAGAGGAUUCUGAAGGAGCUGCUGAUCAAAGCUGGAGACCAGAUACAAGAGUCUGAAGGAGCUGCUGUUGGGCCUUGCAGGAGCUUCAGGGAGUGUCGGCCCAACACCAGGGUAGUAGUGGGCUCCGAAUGCGCCUGAUCUGAGUCCCGUGUGUUGCGCGAGUGAUCGUCCGUCCCUCUAUCUGACUCUCUUCUUCCUGUAUCCAAUUCCCAUUUCCUUUUCUAGUUCUCCGAUCUGUAUCCUAACGCAGGCGGCAAGGGUGAGGAAAGAGCAGGGGCGUACGAAGGAGGCACAACCGGUUCAGGAAGCAGGUGGCGGUGGUGACGGAUUCGGCUUCUGGGAAGCCGCCGAGGAUGGAGAGCCGGUGGCCCGGUGCUAGGAUGGAGCUGGGGCAAGCAGUUAGGGAUCACGAUAGAUGGAGAUGGUCACAUGGCGUGCCGAUCUUGGAUCCAGAACUAAUGGCUCAUAUUUGUCGCCUAAAGUUUUUUGAAAAGAAAAAGGAGACUGUUAAUUAAGUAGCAUCUCCGCGUAGUUUAUAUCCACGAUCUGGCACAAUGCAUUUUCGAUGCCCUGAUUUCACGUGCAAAUGCGUCAAUCGUCUCGUAAAACGUAAACAAGAUUACUCGUUGGCGGCGUAGAGGUGCGCCGGCAGCCUGGGCUCGGCGACGGCGACGAGCGGCACCUUCCGGCGCGUGGACAGCCCGAAGUGCUCCUCCAUGCUCACGUCCUCCGGCGCCACCCCCUCCGGCAGCCGCCACGCGAACCCGUGCACCAGGUUCGCCACGCCGGCGGCCACCACCUUCACGGCGAGGCCGUACGCCGGGCACAUCCGCCUCCCGGCCCCGAACGGCAGCAGCUCGAAGUGCGCCCCGCACGCGUCCACCCCGGCGCCGCCGCCGCCGCCGCCCAGGAACCGCUCCGGCCGGAACGCGCCGGGAGCGUCGGGCCACGACGCCGGGUCGCGCGCGAUGGCCCACGCGUUCACCAGCACGCGCGCGCCCGCGGGCACGUCGUAGCCGGCGACCACCGUGUCCUCGCGGGCCUGGUGCGGGACGAGGAGCGGGCCCACCGGGUGCAGCCGCAUUGUCUCCUUCACGACGGCGUCGAUGUAGGGGAGGUCCGGCAGGUCGCGCUCCGUGACCCAGCGCCCGCGGCCGACCACGCGGUCCAGCUCGUCGGUCGCGGCCGCCAUGGCCUCCGGGUGGCGGAGAAGCUCCGACAUGGCC